GAUCUGAAAGGGAGAUAUAAAAAACAGAAAAUGUGUAUUUACAGUGGGAACCAACAUGGAUGGUACCUAUAGAUCAUAAAGCAAAGCAAGAGUAAAUUUAUAAAGAUGCCCAAAUGAUUCAUCUAUAAGCCUAACAUCUAGAUUAUGCCUAACUAACAUCAGCAUUUGUACAUAUUGAAUAAUAAACCCAGAAAAUUUAAAAAAUAUUAAAAUAGAAGGGUCUAAAAAUGCUAGUUUCUAGACUCAAAAGAAGAUUCAAAGUCUCACUAUACACUCAUCUUUCUAAUAUUUAAUAAAUGAAAUGCUUCAACAUAGAACUGAGCAUAAAUAUAAGAAUUUUAGGAAGAAUGCCUUAUUUCAGAAAAACCUCAUAAUAAUGAAAAUUCAUUUGUGCUAAUGUAUUUAGUAUUUCCUAUGUAAUAAGCACUGUCUAGACAUGGGACAAGCAGCCAGAAAGGAACAGAAACUCAUUAUCCUGCAGAGUUUAUAUUCCAGUGAUCAGUCGACCAUAUUCUAUCAUCAGCUCCCAAAUUUCUAUCACAAAGCUAGUGUCUCCUCCACUAAUAAGGCCACACUUUUUAACUUUUACACAACUCAAUUUAGUUCAUUCUGAGACAUGCUACCCAAAAUUUUUUCCAUAGUACUUACAUAGAAAAGUACUACUGAUGUUUUUAAAAUUCAUUGCUACUGCAUAAAUAUCUUAAGUUAAAGGAAGUGUUUAUAAGUUACUUUACUCUGCAGCAAAAGUGAAAAAUACCUGGUCUAUGUUUACAGAAAGGUUAGAAAAACUUCCUCAGGCAACUCCAAAAUUUAAGGACCUGGGGGAAAACCAGCUGGUUGCAGGGCACCAAAGGGAUUCAGAAGCCUAAAAUACUUUAGGAUUAUUCUAUGAGCUUCAACUGUUACAUUCCCGCACCCCCCUCUCCCCGCCCCUAAAUCCAUAAAAAAAUCAACCCACUCUCUCCAGAACUUUCUUUCCAGAACAGCUGUUCCAAGCAAAACCAAAGGUAAUUCCUGUUGUGGACUGAAACAAAUGAGCAAGUCUACCAAAGGUUAUUUGGAUCCCUGAAUCUCCCUAAGACCGGUUCUUUCAACAGAUCUUUGGCCAGGCCAGUUCUAUUUAUAAGAGAGGAAAGGCCAGUGGGGUGGGGGAGGAGCAGCAGCUCAGACUUAAAAACAAACACUCCAAAAUAAACAUUUCACUGCUGCAUUUGAGCCAUCCCCUCCAACAACUCUUUGGUACUUGUUACAUAAUUAUAUACAUUCCAAAAAUGAAAACAAAAAUAUCUAGGAAAGAGUGGCAAUGAGGAGCUUUGUGUUUUCCCAGAAACUUGAGGGAAGGAGAAAGCAUUGCUGACUCGCUCCAAAUUCAGUAAUAAGUUAUGCCCAAUGAAGUGAGCCAGGACCUAUUUUCUUUUUACCCUUCCAGGUGACUCUGUUUCACAAUUACUACAGAUUCCCAGGUCCUUGGGGUGAUCCCAAGUGCAUGAAGAAAGGAUACUAGUAUUUUUGGCUAUGACACUGAAGACAUGAGACCAGUAAUCUGAACCAGCCCUUGCUCCAAAGGAGCCUUUCUCAAACACUCUUUUGUAAUGGUGGAGUCUUCCCCUCUCCACUCAGGAAUAUAGAUUUAUCAACAGCAAGAGCCACGUACGCAGGCUAGUGACAUUGUAUCAUCAAUAAUAAACAUAACCACAGGCAGAAGAGAUCUGUAAUUCCACUACCGUUGGGAAGUCCUCCAGCACUUGUCGAUGCUUCUCCUUGCUCUCCAUGAACCGCCAGUCAGGUUCAUAAAGGUAAGAGUGAAAGUUGUGUAACAGUGGGACUUUUUUUUCUAUACUGAUGGUCAUGUCAUCUUCCAGAGUGUCCAGAGCUCGGAGAACCAGAUAAAAUAUACAUACUGCAUUGCUGUAAUAAAGGAAGAACUAUUAAUGUAUUGGAACAAACUUCCAAAUAUAUUUAUUUUGAAAUAACAUCUCAUUUAUACCAGGCCAUUUUCUAAACCCUUAACUCUACAGAACUUGGAAAGAAUAUCCAGCCUUUCAUACUUGAGAUAUCUUAGUUUUCUUUUCUUAGAUGGCAGCAAUGGACUUCUGUAGUUUAUUUAUAAAAAUAAAAUAAAAUAAACUUAUCAGCUGGAUGUCAUUACUACUCCCAGAAUGAGUUACAAUUAACUAAUGUAGAAUUGUACAAAGGCCAAAAGACCAAAUGUUUAGAUGGAACUAAUAUUUUUCAGAUAAAAAAAUUAAGUCAAAAGACACAACUUCUUAAUAUAAAUACUAUCAUACAUAAAGGCAAUUGGCUUAAAUUCAUGUACAUAUGUAAUAUGCACAGAGGCAACUUGUCAAGAAUUAACCCGGCAAACUAGAAAUAUAGAGAAGCCUAAGUGAAGCCAAGAAAAAUGCAUGGCCUGCUCAGAGACAAGUUCGCCCGCUAGGGCUAAGAAAAGUUAAUAAACACCCCCGCCUCCUCCCCAAAGAGCUGGGCCUGCAUGAAUAAUAUUAGAUGGCAAGGUGCCUGGAAGGGCAGCCUAAAGUAAACACAUGGGCACUUCGACAGGGAACAUUUCCUUUAUUCAAGUGGCACAAAUUAUGCUUAACCAACCACGAACACACAGUGCAAUGCUAGUGGCGAUCUAUGUCAACAAGUUGCUUGUAAUGACUCUAAGCCCUCCGGAAAGCUUUCCUUCUCAAGUCAACAGGGGCUACCCCCGCUACUCACCGCAUUUCUUCAUCCAGCGCCUGGAUAACGGCUGCGAAACUGCGACUGGUCUGAUGCAGGUACUUGUAACAAGUCUUCAGGCUGCUGCUGAGCGAGUCCUGCGGGCAGAGAAGGCACACGGAGGUAGCAGUUGUCGAGGAGCAGGAGUGGGACUGGGGCAGGAAGCCGGCAGCCGCUGGACGCCGUAGCCGAGCGCAGACGCCCUCUCCCCGAGUCCAGUCUUUGGAAGGCCAGGGACAACAGCGCGAGGGGGUGCCCGCGCCCUUAGGCGCCGCGGCGGGGCUCAGCACCAAGGUCCGCUUGAAGAGGGACAUGGCCUUGGUGCCGCAGGCGGCUGCGGCCAUCAGAAUUGUGCAGCUUGCGCCAAGUUUUCCUCCAUAGACCCAAGCGGAGCUGGGAGGCGCCCACCGAGGAGGCGGGGCGGGCUCUCCCUCCACCCCAAUAGGCUGGGGGCUGGCCGAGCGGGGAGCAGGCGUUCGCGUGCCCCGCCCCCCGCCCCCCAAACGCGAAUCCCGCCGCGAGCCCCGAGGCCGGCCACGCCCCACGGUUGGCCAGGCCCCUCUGCCCCGCUUGCAACCCCUUGCGCCGCAUUCCCCUUCUCCCCAGAACCCACAGGCUGCUAAGGAAACAAGUCCACUUUUAAGAAGCUUGCUUUUUCGUCCCCGACAGCAUCUCUCCGUGGGCAAACUUUAGUCAGGCUCCUUUGAAUCCUCCACAUUUCCACUUGUGUGUCUAUCUUUGCAUCGCCCAAUUUUAGCAAAAAUCCUGCUAAACUGCUUUGAUCAAACUUCCCAAAUCUGGGCACCAGAUCAGCCUCCCCGCCAUCCCCCAGCAAGAAACCCAUUAAGUCGUUGUGCCAGAAAGCCCUUGUCCCAGAUGUUUCCUCUUAGAAAUUUUCUCUCCAUCGACCCUUCCACUCUGCCUGCUCCUUGACUAUAAAUGUCCACUUUUUCUUUUAUUCAGAAUUGAGCCCAGUUCUAUACGGAGGUUUCUUUCCCCUAUUGCACUAGCUUUUUUGAAUAAAAUCUGUUUUCACCACUUUAA